CCGGGCGUAGCGCAGUCUGGUAGCGCACUACAAUGGGGUUGUAGGGGUCGGGUGUUCGAAUCACCCCGCCCGGA
rfam:Endosymbiont of Codakia orbicularis strain COS CODIS_contig000016, whole genome shotgun sequence.